UACGGAGGGUGCAAGCGUUAUCCGGAUUCACUGGGUUUAAAGGGUGCGUAGGAGGAAAGGUAAGUCAGUGGUGAAAUCUCCAAGCUUAACUUGGAAACUGCCGUUGAUACUAUCUUUCUUGAAUACCGUGGAGGUGAGCGGAAUAUGUCAUGUAGCGGUGAAAUGCUUAGAUAUGACAUAGAACACCAAUUGCGAAAGCAGCUCGCCACACGAAUAUUGACUCUGAGGCACGAAAGCGUGGGGAUCAAACAGG
rnacentral:rRNA from 1 species